AAAUUAAAGGUCUAAUCUGCCCAAUGAUAUUUGAAUGGCCGCGGUAAUUUGACCGUGCAAAGGUAGCAUAAUUAUUAGUCUUUUAAUUGAAGGCUUGAAUGAAGGAUUGGAUGAAAAAUAAACUUUAUUAAUAAGAAUUAUUUAAUUUAUUGUUUAAGUAAAAAUUCUUAAAUAUAUAAGUGGGACGAGAAGACCCUAUAGAGUUUUAUAUUUAUUUUUAUUGUGAAGUUUUAGAAUUAAUAUUUUCAUAAUAUAAAUAAAUUUUUUAUUGGGGUGAUAUUAAAAAUUUUUAAACUUUUAAUCAAAAUUUCAUUAAUAUAUGAGCUUUUGAUCCAAAAUAAUUUUUGAUUAUAAGAUUAAAUUACCUUAGGGAUAACAGCGUUAUUAAUUUGAAGAGUUCAAAUCGAUAAAUUAGUUUGCGACCUCGAUGUUGGAUUAAGAAUAAAUUUUGAAGAAGUAUUUAAAAUUGUAGGUCUGUUCGACCUUUAAAAUCUUACGUGAUCUGAG
rnacentral:rRNA from 1 species